UACGUAGGUGGCAAGCGUUGUCCGGAUUUACUGGGCGUAAAGGGCGUGUAGGCGGGAAGGAAAGUCAGAUGUGAAAUCCCUGGGCUCAACCCAGGAACUGCAUUUGAAACUCCCUUUCUUGAGUACCGGAGAGGAAGGUGGAAUUCCUGGUGUAGAGGUGAAAUUCGUAGAUAUCAGGAGGAACACCGGUGGCGAAGGCGGCCUUCUGGACGGUAACUGACGCUGAGACGCGAAAGCGUGGGGAGCAAACAGG
rnacentral:rRNA from 1 species